UGGCGGGGCUCGGAAACGGGGCCCGGAACUUAGCUGCUCCGAGCCGGAUUGAAUCGACUGAGAGAUACACGCUUUAUUUACCCACUCACUUUGGGGUCCCAUAUAAAUACUUGUUCACGUAUUAAGUGCUAUUGCGACAAAUGGGGAUCUGUGUUGCUCCUAAUGCCAAAAUCUUUGUGCUAAAAUAACAUUUUUGUGGAGCGAAUUUGCAAGGCAUGAGUGAAAAGCAAACAACUCUCGCCAUGUUUCCAUCUCCAAGACGACCCUUGAGAGUGUCCCCAAACCAAUCGCCGCCCCAACGCUUCAGCGCAGUGCUUGUACUCCAAGCCGGAGGCCGCUUGUCCAAGGAGUCGCCUGUCUACCACAACAAUGCCAAAGUUUUGGUCCUGCCUGAGUCGCACUGGGAUUCCCGCUGGGUGUUUGGUCCGGUGUGGCUCAGGGCAGCGGUCAGGCCUCACCCUGCUCCUGUCUCCACCGGCGGAACCAAACCAAGCUGAGCCGCAUCUCCCGUGCAGAGCUGGGAGCAGAAGGGCAGCGCUGGGCACACCGAGCUGCAGGGUUCCCUCACCCGGGCACGGCAGGCUCCGCACCAGCCCUUCCACGGGAGCGAGUUUGGAUCUGCGCUGCUCCCACCUCCACUGGCAGCUGAGCCCUUCUCCCUUGCCUGUGUGAGCCCAAAUUCCGUGGAAAGGGCAAGCAAGAACGCGCAGUAACUGCAGAGCGCAGUUCACUAAUCCACAGGCUCCAGCUGUGGAUUAGUGUUCCCAGCUGUGUUUGUCUCCUUGGGCUGCUUGCACACCUCAUGGAGAGGAAUGGACCACUUCAGUGUUCUCCAGACCUCCUGUGUGCCAGCACCGUCCUUUCUGAGGCACAAGGCACAACCUUGGAGCAGAGAUUGCAAUCUUUUCUCCAGUCCUUUGCUUCUCCUGGCCUCUAGCUGUGCCUGCCUUGAGAUGUGCCUAUACCCCUCCCAGAUCUCUCACCUUCCUGCCUCACUGCCAGUCCUUCAAGUUUUUCCCGAGAGGAUGCGUGAAACAAAGCACCACACAACCCUGCGUGGGAUGUCUGCACACACGUGAGACUGGCAGCUGCUGCAGUGGGGGACAGACAACGGGGGUGAUGGGUGGGAUGAGUGAAGGAAGAGUCAGAGCUUCAGUGCUGGAAAUGAGGAGAAAAUCCCUGAGGUGGGUGAACACUGUGAACAGCACCAUGAGGCACAAAUGGCACAACAGCUCAAGAGGGAGAGAGAAGAAGCAGUCAGAGCAGCCAGGGAAAUUUGCUUCCCUAAAACACUCACCUUACUUAAAAACGCAUUCCCAACAAUCACCUUCAAACUGUUUCUGAAUGCCCAGAGGUCCAGUUCUGUUCCUCAGUGAGGAGAAGGGCUCAGGUGUGAGUGGUGCAAAUGUAGUGAAAGCUCUAACAUACAACCAGUGAGUUUUAUAAACUUCCUUUGAGCAGAAAAGUCAUCGUUAAGCUGAAAUUGCAGAACUAGUUACAGAGAAAAAACUGCCCCAGAGCACUGAAAGGCUUCAAUAAGUUUAUUUAGGAUAAAAAGGGAAAAAAAGGGCAUGGAAUGUUGCACAACUUUAUUAAGGUGGACUAAAGGUCGAUUAGUGGUCAUACCCUCCUGAAUUAUAGAGCGCCUAGAUUUGAACAGUGGUAAGGAAUUGCACUUUUAAGCACCAGCUCGGUAGAGACUGAACAUGUCAGGCUGGUCCUUAAGCCAUGCACACCUACCUCCUAGGAGCUCCCUGGAAAUGGAGGCUGGGAGCACAGAUAAAUAAAGAGUAAAAUAGAGUAACACCCACACCUUUCAUGGGUGGGCAAGGCUUGAAAGUUGCUCAUAGUCUGAUCAGGCUGGUGCAUCUGGCCUACACUUACAGACCUAAACAGUGAUGUUCCCUCCUCAUUCCCUGCUCCUGAAUGAAGUGCUAACUGUUAUCACCCUUCACCCUUUCCUCUAGAGUCUCUUCUGAGAGCUAGUUUACACCACAAAGAAUUUUCCAGUAUAGUUGUAAUUACAAAAACCACAGGGUCAGCGCAAUUUAUUCCAGUAUCACUUUUGCCAGUAUUGUUAAACCUUUCCUUCAAAUGACAGAAACUAUUUUUGAGAAAGAACUUUUUUUGUUAGUCGUUGUUUAUUUCGACUUUGUUCAGCCUGAUCUUUUCACACUCCUCCCUGACAUAACUAUUUGGCCAAUAGAUUUGGCCUGAACUUCUCCUGAAACUCUCUCUGCACUCUCCCUUUAUUAAAUGCUGUCAUGUGUGGCACAAAGCUGAUGGUUGCCAGGGCCAGUUGUAUGCCGUUUCUUUGGCAGCAUCAACAAAACUGAUUGGUUUAGGAAUCACUGAGGGAAGUGUUUUUCGGUGAAUACUAAAAUCCCAAGCAGUUUAGCAUGGAUACUGUCUGCUAGUAGAAUAAAACCAUCUUCCAGCACUACCAUAAAAUGUUAUUGGUAAAAAUACCAUUUUACUGGUACAAUUGUGUCUCUACCAGAGGCUUCUGUUGACACAGCUAUGCCUGUCAGGGCUGGCAUCUCUUUAGAGCUAUGCUGGUAGACAUCAGUCCUGUAAAUAUGAUCUUGGUCAUUCAGAACACACGUUCACCCCUUUUCGACUCACAGUGACAACUCCAUCACACAACUGCAGUCAGUACAGUUACUCUUAAGACAGUAAAUGCAAAUGAAGAUGCAAAUGCAUGUUGCAAUUCAAAUCAGUGAAACAACAUCAUAUUCUGCUGUUCUUCCCUUACAGCUACUUUAUGCAGAUUCAUAAAAUUUAAGGUCAGAAGAUACCUUUAGGUAACAUAACCUGAGGUAUAACAAAGGUCAAGCAAUUUUAUGUAAUUAAGCCUCAUGACUCAUAAAUAAGCAAGCAUCUUCUAGAAACCAUUUUUGAGUCAAAGACACCAAGUGAAGAAGUCACUAUCUUUCUUUCUAGUUUAUAGCUUUUGCCUCACAGUUUUAAAUCCAGAGCACCGAGAAGUAUUUUGACCUCUGUGAUUCCAUCAUCUGUGCAGGUGCCCCUCCUUGGACUUUCUCCUCUCUGUGAUGCGUUCUUUGAUCAUUCUUUGAUUCCUUUUAUUUGCAUUCUUCCAGGUAACAUUCUAAUCCCUUUUCCAGCAGCAGACCUGCCAUCAGUCUCCUCACAGAGCAGCAUAAACCACCAGGCUGACACACUAAGACAUAUCCUCCCCCCGUUCUGGUGUCCUUUGCAGGGAGAGGGAGAACACCCUUGUGACAGUGUGUGCUCAGUGGCUACUGUCAGCUCUGUGAGUGGGGCUGAAAUCACCUUGGUGGUGUGUAUUUUUAUUUUAUGUUUUCUGUCUGCCACACCAAGUUUUACAUUGCACUGAUCUCCAAGCUCUGUGGAGGUAAAAAGCAUGCCUGGGCACUAACAACUCUGCUUUUGUAAGGUCUGGGAAUGUUGCACAUAUAUAAAUCUUAGCAAAUUUAUUCCAAAAUGCAGAAAGUAAGGGUUUUGACUGAUAUAUAUUUGUCGGUACAAAGGUAUACUUCAUAUUAAAUUCAUGUUAUUAAAGCCCUUACAAGAGAAUCAGCCAAGCAGAAGAUGACAAGCUUAAAAAGAGAUACCAUUGUGAUUACAGAAAGACAAGAAAAACAAACAAAAUUAUCCUUACUUUCAUUCUUUCUAGCCCAUAUAGUGUUUCUGAGUAGCUGGGUUUAACUAUUCCUGCCAGCACAAAAGUAAUCAAUAAAGGAACACCUUGUAUAGAAAUAAUGCAUUUUCUGCAGUUACAGAUAAACAGAACAGAUUCUAACAAAUUCCUAAGGAUCCACUUUCAUUAUUGAAGAAGAUUCUGAAUUUUUAGCUCUGCAAAUAACCAGCUGAAUAGACUGUAAUUCAAUUUUUAUUAAUAUCCAGUUGUAUGUCACAUACCUCAAAGUCCAAGUGUCCCUAUGUAUAGUGUUUCUGAGUACUUGACAUCAGACAGCUGGGAAUUUUCUCAAUAUGAUGUAUAGCAAGUGACUUUAUUGGGGUAAUUUAGGACAGACCCUGUAGAACAUGUAAAAGAGUUCUUGGCUGGGAGCUGUUUCUCCAAAUCUAUCUGAGAAAUGACUUGCAAUCUUACUCAUCUUCACAGGUGCUUGAUGCCAUUGAUUUACAAUUUUAUAUUGCAAUUCUAACAGGUUAGCUGAAAUAGAGCAUACACGUAUGAAGGACAUUAUUGAGUCCAAUAUCUCCAGCUCAGGAGAAUGAGAUAGUUCCCUUUCCCAUUUAAUCAUAAAUGUUUCUUUAGUGGGCAAUAAAGAAAAAGCAAUGGCUUUAUACAAUCACCCCACAAUGUUCUGAGAUUCAUUGCUAAGGAAUAAGAUUUGCUCAGAUAAAAAGGAUUCUCUAAUACAAGUAGAUUUAACAUCAGACUGAAUAAAGGAACUCCUGAACUGGAAGUAAAGAAGCAAAAAGGAAAGUCUAGUAUGUUUCACUUUUGUUGUAUUUCUAAGGGAAAUGUGAAUUUGUUUUUACUGACAGGUUGAGAUAAAUAUUCCAAAUAAAUUAAAUCAGUUCUUUCGGCAGUCUUUAGAGAAAAUAGGAGCAAAAUACACAAUACAGUUAGAAAAAGAGGCAGAUUACUUUUAAAGCUAGUAUAGACUUCAUGACAGGAACAGAGAACUUGGGUUCAGGUCUGGUCAUAAAACCCACAGUUUCCACACCUUCCGAAUCAUGAUCCCUUGGUUUUCAAAGCAUACCUAAAAAGUCAGUUCCCCUUAA